rnacentral:rRNA from 1 species
GGACGAACGCUGGCGGCGUGCCUAACACAUGCAAGUCGAACGGUAAGGCCCUUCGGGGUACGACGAGUGGGCGAACGGGUGAGUAACACGUGGGUGAUCUGCCCUGCACUUCGGGAUAAGCCUGGGAAACUGGGUCUAAUACCGGAUAGGACCAUGGACUUCACGGUUUGUGGUGGAAAGCUUUUGCGGUGUGGGAUGGGCCCGCGGCCUAUCAGCUUGUUGGUGGGGUAAUGGCCUACCAAGGCGACGACGGGUAGCCGGCCUGAGAGGGUGUCCGGCCACACUGGGACUGAGAUACGGCCCAGACUCCUACGGGAGGCAGCAGUGGGGAAUAUUGCACAAUGGGCGCAAGCCUGAUGCAGCGACGCCGCGUGAGGGAUGACGGCCUUCGGGUUGUAAACCACUUUCAAUAGGGACGAAGCGCAAGUGACGGUACCUAUAGAAGAAGCACCGGCCAACUACGUG